rnacentral:rRNA from 2 species
GACGAGAAGCUUGCUUCUCUGAUGUUAGCGGCGGACGGGUGAGUAACACGUGGAUAACCUACCUAUAAGACUGGGAUAACUUCGGGAAACCGGAGCUAAUACCGGAUAAUAUUUUGAACCGCAUGGUUCAAAAGUGAAAGACGGUCUUGCUGUCACUUAUAGAUGGAUCCGCGCUGCAUUAGCUAGUUGGUAAGGUAACGGCUUACCAAGGCAACGAUGCAUAGCCGACCUGAGAGGGUGAUCGGCCACACUGGAACUGAGACACGGUCCAGACUCCUACGGGAGGCAGCAGUAGGGAAUCUUCCGCAAUGGGCGAAAGCCUGACGGAGCAACGCCGCGUGAGUGAUGAAGGUCUUCGGAUCGUAAAACUCUGUUAUUAGGGAAGAACAUAUGUGUAAGUAACUGUGCACAUCUUGACGGUACCUAAUCAGAAAGCCACGGCUAACUACGUGCCAGCAGCCGCGGUAAUACGUAGGUGGCAAGCGUUAUCCGGAAUUAUUGGGCGUAAAGCGCGCGUAGGCGGUUUUUUAAGUCUGAUGUGAAAGCCCACGGCUCAACCGUGGAGGGUCAUUGGAAACUGGAAAACUUGAGUGCAGAAGAGGAAAGUGGAAUUCCAUGUGUAGCGGUGAAAUGCGCAGAGAUAUGGAGGAACACCAGUGGCGAAGGCGACUUUCUGGUCUGUAACUGACGCUGAUGUGCGAAAGCGUGGGGAUCAAACAGGAUUAGAUACCCUGGUAGUCCACGCCGUAAACGAUGAGUGCUAAGUGUUAGGGGGUUUCCGCCCCUUAGUGCUGCAGCUAACGCAUUAAGCACUCCGCCUGGGGAGUACGACCGCAAGGUUGAAACUCAAAGGAAUUGACGGGGACCCGCACAAGCGGUGGAGCAUGUGGUUUAAUUCGAAGCAACGCGAAGAACCUUACCAAAUCUUGACAUCCUUUGACAACUCUAGAGAUAGAGCUUUCCCCUUCGGGGGACAAAGUGACAGGUGGUGCAUGGUUGUCGUCAGCUCGUGUCGUGAGAUGUUGGGUUAAGUCCCGCAACGAGCGCAACCCUUAAGCUUAGUUGCCAUCAUUAAGUUGGGCACUCUAAGUUGACUGCCGGUGACAAACCGGAGGAAGGUGGGGAUGACGUCAAAUCAUCAUGCCCCUUAUGAUUUGGGCUACACACGUGCUACAAUGGACAAUACAAAGGGCAGCGAAACCGCGAGGUCAAGCAAAUCCCAUAAAGUUGUUCUCAGUUCGGAUUGUAGUCUGCAACUCGACUACAUGAAGCUGGAAUCGCUAGUAAUCGUAGAUCAGCAUGCUACGGUGAAUACGUUCCCGGGUCUUGUACACACCGCCCGUCACACCACGAGAGUUUGUAACACCCGAAGCCGGUGG